CAGCCGUAAACUAUGCUCGCUAGGUGUCAGGCAUGGCGCGACCGUGUCUGGUGCCGCAGGGAAGCCGUGAAGCGAGCCACCUGGGAAGUACGGCCGCAAGGCUGAAACUUAAAGGAAUUGGCGAGGGAGCACAACAACGGGUGGAGCCUGCGGUUUAAUUGGACUCAACGCCGGACAACUCACCGGGAACGACAGCAAUAUGUAGGCCAGGCUGAAGACCUUGCCUGAAUCGCUGAGAGGAGGUGCAUGGCGUAGACGUCU
rnacentral:rRNA from 1 species